UAGUUUUGGACAAAAUAUACCGAGCAUUAAUUCAAGAGAGAUCAUUAUAGAUUAACGACCAAAUUUGAAUAUAAACCAUCUUCUUAAGAUUAUUGUUUAAUUUAUGGUAUUCCGCUGCGUAACAGGAUCCACAGUUUCAUGAUGGACAAAGCUUUGGUGGGGAGAAGGUUUUUCAGGUUUGACGUGUGUAUUUGCAGCCAUCGAGGCUCUUAAAUGUCAGAAAUAUGUCCAAAGGUGUUACUUAAUGCAGUGCUGUGUAUGCCAUAAACAGUAACUAUAAAAACAAACGGCUUAGGAGACCUUGCAAGCUUUCUAUUUUCUCUUUUCAAAGUGGAAAAACCAGCCUGCCGAAUGGACUGACUAAUGCGUCUCAAAUUACUUCCUUUGGCAGACAAGAGGAAGAAAAUAGUCUAUCUGGAGUAUUUUAGCAAGUCUGAACUCAAGCAG